rnacentral:tRNA from 1 species
GAGAGAGGCUCGACAGCACCGAUGAUUGCUAACCAUUGUUACUUUGGUUAAACCCCAAAGCUCACUCG